UUUUUUUUUUUUUUUUUUAAAGACCAUACUACACACCAUGUUUCAGGAGAGGGUCUCUUUUUUCCCACGCAAAACAAUCUUUCAGGUUAUUUUCCUAAACAAAGGUAGCUUGUAUCAUUAAGAGAAACUCUGGUGUCAAGUAAAUGAUUCGAAUAAUUUAUCUUUGGCCGGGCGCAGUGGCUCACGCCUGUAAUCCCAACACUUUGGGAGGCCGAGGCAGGCGGAUCACGAGGUCAGGAGAUCGAGAUCAUCCUGGCUAACAUGGUGAAAUCCCGUCUCUACUAAAAAUACCAAAAAUUAGCCUGUCUCUACUAAAAAUACAAAAAAUUAGCCAGGCGUGGUGGCGGGCGCCUGUAGUCCCAGCUACUCCGGAGGCUGAGGCAAUAGAAAGGCGUGAACUUGGGAGGCGGAGCUUGCAGUGAGCCGAGAUUGUACCACUGCACUCCAGCGUGGGCGACAGAGCGAGACUCCCUCUCAAAAAAAAAAAAAAAAAUUAUUUUUCCCCCAUCACGUUACACUUAAUUUUCCUCUUUGUCCAACUAGAAAGCUCUUAUUUCUUCUUACCUGGUGAGCAUCCAGUACACUUUAUGGAUGUUGUAAAUAUGUCCUUGGUUUUAUCUGAUACUUGAUUUGAGAUCUCUUGUUGGCUUUUCCCUGCUCUUUUCCAAUUCUCAAAAUUGAUAUUUCUUUUUCAGAAAUAAAGUUGCCUUAUGAUCUUUGGGAAGGCUUGUAUUUAUUUCUUAUCUAUGCUUACUAAGCCUUACUUUUUUUUUCUUUCUUGCACUGAUCAGAAUAAAUCCCCCUCUCUAUUUUGCUAAAGUCAUCUUCCAACCCUAAGGCACACUCCCCUUUUUUUUUUUUUUGACAAUAAGGGGAAAGCAGCUAAUAAACACAGACUAACUCAUUCAGUUUAGUUUCCCACUCCCUAUACUUGAUAAAUACUCGAUUUGCAAUAAAGCCUGUCUUAUAAUUCUAUAUCCUUAAGGUAUACUUUAGUCUUUAUUCAGGGGUUAAAACUUUUAUUCAUUGAAUGUUUAAAAACAUGGUUUGAAGAAAGC
rnacentral:lncRNA from 1 species